CUGAGGUAGCUGCACACCAUCAGAGGGUGGGUGGGGAUGUGGACAACGUCUGUGUCUGCCUAGAUAUGUACCUCUGGCCACUGGGAGCUGAACCAGCCAGGACCUUGCCUAGACCUGGUUUGGAGUGCACGUGAAACAAAUGAAGAAGCAGGUGAGAGCGAAGGUUUGGCUGCCAAACUUGGCCACAGAUAAAACAUGAUGAAGAUAUUAAGCCUGUGGACUGGAAUGUGACUGGAAGAAUACCUGGGGAGGGAAAGGAAAUCACCAUAGCCAUUGAGAGCCCUGCCUAAGUACCUGAUGGCAGCUAAUGAGGAGGUGUGCAAGGAAAUUCACUUCUGAAGCCACAUCAAGCAUGAUCCUUAAACCUCUGAUCCCAUCUGGUAAGGAAAAGAAUUUACUUCACAAAUUCAGUUUAUUAUGCUCUUCCCUGAUCCUGCUCUUCUCCAAUCCUGUGUAGACACAUCCAAGUCAGGUUGCACAUUAUGGGAGCUCCAUAUUCUUCAUUCAAAUCCUUUUUCUGCCAGCAGCAACAAAAAGUAAAAAGGAACAGAUUACUUCCUACUGAAAUGGAAAUUGUGUGGAAACCAUCUCCAUCUGAUAGCGCUUUGGUAACGUUUGGUUUUGCUUUGGGGGAAGGUGUGGUGUUAAAACACUGGGAACAAGCAUUCUGGAUUUCUUGAAACUGAUUUAUGCCCAAACUAAAACCUCUUUCUGGUUUGGGCCAAGGUCUGGUGCAAGGCUCCACGGCACAAUUGUGAUCCAGCUCUGCUCCUCUACACAGCAAAGCACCAGGACCUCCUCCAUCUGCCAGAGACCUUCACACCCUCACCAAGCCUGACCUGACACCCCCAUUGCAGGGAGCUUUCUCUGAAAAACAAGAUAAAAGCAUAAACCCAUGAGCUGUGCCAGCAGACUGCGAUCAGCCGCAGGAUUUGACACAGCUAACCAGAGCCAGGAGAGACCCCAGCUGGCAGCUCUGCCCAUCCUCUCACUGCAGCACAGAGCUUUCUGCUCCCUCUCCCUGGCCACGCAUUAGGGAGGGGAACCAAAUGAGCAGCGCAGCCGAGACGUCUCUGCAGAGAGCAGGGCAGCUCCCAUGGGAACUGAAAAUUCUGUGUGAACUUGCAUUAAGCACACCGAGGAACGGUUUCUUCCUGCAGAAUUUACUAUAUAUUAAUUAGAGAGCAACUUGACAUAUCUCUGGCUAGCAUACAUUAAAACAACUCCUCAAGUAUUUACCAGCUGAGGUCUAUGAAAACAGGGGCCAGAAAGAAACGCAGAAGAUUAAAAAGAAAUUCAGCUAAGUGGGACCAUGGCAAAUUGCCCUGUGGGCUCUCUGAGAAGAAGCUCCUUCUCUCUUCUUCGCCAUGCACAGUUCUCUACCACUCAAAAAGGUGCAAAGGGCAACCUGUGCCAGGCUAAAGUGAUGCCAUAUAGGGAUAAUAGACCCUUAAACUUGUGAUCAAGAAAGAAAUGUUGAUACAUGUGGCUAAAACACUCUGGUAACUGACAUUUUGGGAAUUAAAGAAGGUAGCAGGGCAGAAUUUCUCAGUGGAAUUGAACAUAAAUAAAAUAAGCUGUUUCUUCUUUAUUAAAGUAAUAUCUCCAAUGA